rnacentral:rRNA from 1 species
GACGAACGCUGGCGGCGUGCUUAAUACAUGCAAGUCGAACGGAAAGGCCCUGCUUUUGUGGGGUGCUCGAGUGGCGAACGGGUGAGUAACACGUGAGUAACCUGCCCUUGACUUUGGUAUAACUUCAGGAAACUGGGGCUAAUACCGGAUAGGAGCUCCUGCGGCAUGGUGGGGGUUGGAAAGUUUCGGCGGUUGGGGAUGGACUCGCGGCUUAUCAGCUUGUUGGUGGGGUAGUGGCUUACCAAGGCUUUGACGGGUAGCCGGCCUGAGAGGGUGACCGGCCACAUUGGGACUGAGAUACGGCCCAGACUCCUACGGGAGGCAGCAGUGGGGAAUAUUGCACAAUGGGCGGAAGCCUGAUGCAGCAACGCCGCGUGCGGGAUGACGGCCUUCGGGUUGUAAACCGCUUUCGCCUGUGACGAAGCGUGAGUGACGGUAAUGGGUAAAGAAGCACCGGCUAACUACGUG